AGAGAUGUGUGAUGACGCAUAUCAAUAAGCGGAGGAAAAGAAACUAACAAGGAUUCCCCUAGUAACAGCGAGUGAAGCGGGAAGAGCUCAAAUUUGAAAUCUUAAAGGGUUUCCCUUUACGAAUUGUAGUUUAAAGAAGUGUUUUCUGUUGGAGUUUCGGUAAAAGUUCUUUGGAAUAGGACAUCAUAGAGGGUGAGAAUCCCGUAUUUGACGUCACUUUCUAGCUACGUUGUGAUACACUUUCAAAGAGUCGGAUUGUUUGGGAAUGCAGUCCAAGAUGGGCUGGUAAAUUUCAUCUAAAGCUAAAUAUUGGCGAGAGACCGAUAGCGAACAAGUACCGUGAGGGAAAGAUGAAAAGAACUUUGAAAAGAGAGUUAAACAGUACGUGAAAUUGUCAAAAGGGAAGCGUUUGACACCAGUGUUGUUUAGUUGAAAAUCAAUUCAAUAGUUUUUGAUUUAAGUAGUAUUGACUUCAUCAGCUUGCUGCUUUCUUUCAGGAAAUUAUUGAAUGCACUUUUCAGUUAACAAGUCAACAUCAAUUUCUUUUGUUGUAAAAGGGUAAGAGGAAGGUGGCUUACGUCUCGGCGUAAGUGUUUAUAGCCUUUUACCUCUGCAAUCGGAGAGAUUGAGGCCAGCAGCGUAGACUCCUUCUGGGGUUAAAUGCACUUGUGCUAAGCUAUAGCCUUGUAUAGACAACUUGUUGACUAUGCUCAGUCAUGUAGCUUACUCGCUUGUGCUAUUUUACCUACGCUUAGGAUGUUGACGCAUGAGAUAUACGC
rnacentral:rRNA from 1 species